rnacentral:rRNA from 1 species
UGGGGAAUUUUGGACAAUGGGGGCAACCCUGAUCCAGCAAUGCCGCGUGUGUGAAGAAGGCCUUCGGGUUGUAAAGCACUUUUGUCCGGGAAGAAAUCGCACCUGAUAAUACCGGGUGUGGAUGACGGUACGGGAAGAAUAAGGACCGGCUAACUACGUGCCAGCAGCCGCGGUAAUACGUAGGGUCCAAGCGUUAAUCGGAAUUACUGGGCGUAAAGCGUGCGCAGGCGGUUGUGCAAGACCGAUGUGAAAUCCCCGGGCUUAACCUGGGAAUUGCAUUGGUGACUGCACGGCUAGAGUGUGUCAGAGGGGGGUAGAAUUCCACGUGUAGCAGUGAAAUGCGUAGAGAUGUGGAGGAAUACCGAUGGCGAAGGCAGCCCCCUGGGAUAACACUGACGCUCAUGCACGAAAGCGUGGGGAGCAAACAGG